rnacentral:ncRNA from 1 species
UUCUUAUCAAGAGUGGUGGAGGGAAAGGCCCUGCGAAACCACAGCAACCGGUCUUUUCCGGUUCGCAUUCGAGCUUAGACCAAGGCGCCGAGGAGACGGCCCCGGAGGCGUACCGAGCGUACGCUGAGGAGCCAACGACGAUGGCAACGCUGGUAUCAGCCCGAAGGCGAAGCGGAAGGCGCCAGGUGCUAAAUCCUGCCGGAGAGGCAAAGAUGAGGA